rnacentral:rRNA from 1 species
UACGUAGGGGGCAAGCGUUGUCCGGAUUUAUUGGGCGUAAAGAGCGUGUAGGCGGUUAGGUAGGUCCGUUGUGAAAACUCGAGGCUCAACCUCGAGACGCCGAUGGAAACCAUCUAACUAGAGUCCGGAAGAGGAGAGUGGAAUUCCUGGUGUAGCGGUGAAAUGCGCAGAUAUCAGGAAGAACACCGGUGGCGAAGGCGGGUCUCUGGGCAGUAACUGACGCUGAGGAGCGAAAGCGUGGGGAGCGAACAGG